rnacentral:lncRNA from 1 species
GUGUAGAGUACUGCGUCACAGCUGACCGCUUUCCGCUGGACUCGCGUGCCUUGUGGAGUCGUGAUGGGGUAAGUCGUGUUAUAACUUGGCACGUGAGAAAUUCAUGUAAUGUCAUUUUUAUAUGGCAAAAGCAGUUUAUUUCAAUAAUAACCCGUGCUUCUCAUUAUAAUAGAUCCACCUGAGUGACGAUCUGGGGAUGCCGCUUCUCGCGAAGCUUCUGUGGCACUUCUCCUUUCGGCAGCUACAGUCACCUCUGCCUGUUACACCUCCGCCUGUGUCUCCUCCCAAGUCACCCCCGACUGUGAGACCCUUUGCUACCACCGUGGUUGUGAAGGGAGAGGUUUCACGUCCACGUCCCCUUGACCCCUUCAAGGAAACUGUCGUCGGACGUCGCGGAAAGGUAAAAGUUAUACAAUUUUGAAGAGCUUUAGUUUUAGUUAGGCCACAUUUAUUGAAUACUAAUUCCCCCUAUGUGUUUAUAGCGCAGCCAACCUGAGUCCUGGGAUGCGCCUGAGGACUGGGAUCAGUCUUCCGUGCGGAUCCUUCCUCAUGAGGUUUGUACAUUGGUAUGAUAGCUGAUAGGAAAUUAAACCGUAAUGAUGCGUACAUUUGUUGUUUCAUUUAAAUGCUAUUCCUAUAAGACAAGGCAAAUGGUCAAUGGCUCAAUUCUGCUUUUUAUUUCUAGGUUUGUGUGCCUCCUCUGGUCCUGAGGGAGUGCUUUGUCGUGCUAAACCCUAUCCGGUUUAGCACUGACAAGUUGGCUGCAAUGGAUCGCAUUGUUCCAUCCAACCUUGACGUCCCCAUGGGGAAUCGCUCAAAGAAACGGAAGGUGGCACAUGGAACCACGGCUGUGGUCUCCAAAGGAAAGAAGGCCCGCCUUGAGGCACUUCAAACUCCAGCAAGGAUUGCCAAACCUUCGAAGCUGGUACCUCCCCCUCGACCUGUUCCAGAAGCUGCUGUACCAGCUACUCUGGAGGGCGUACCUCCUCCUCGACCUGUUCCAGAAGCUGCUGUGCCAGCCACUCUGGAGGGCAGCGUCUUUGUGCAUUCGAGCAAGUUUGCUCAACCGGAGGGGGAUGACAAGACUCUGUGUGUUGAUGAGUGGCCGUUUCUUCAAACAGAGUUUUUUGAGGUAAAGGUUUGGGGGAAAAAGAGAGCAUCUUGUAAUCAUUUAAUAUUUGGGUUUUGUUGUUAAAUUUGUAUGUAGCCCCACAAAAUACAGGCGUGCACAACACUAUGUUUGUUACUGUUUUAAAUAAACUACAUUAGCAGUAAGUUCUUUGAACUGCCCACUUUUCAAUUUUCAUACAAUUGUAUCUCAUGAUAAUUUUGCUCCCUUACCUCAUUGUAGAAGGUGAACCAGCCAACUGCUCGGGUUGUCUCUGGACAGAGAAAACAAGAGGAGCCAACACCUUGGGGACCAAAAGUUGUGAUGGCCCAGGCUGAUAAACCAACAGCCAAUGAGACCAGCUUCUUGGGAUGUUCAACCAAGGUAAUGACAACAAUAUAAAAAAUGAUUUGCAAAUAAGCAAUCAAUCUG